UACAGACUAACCAAGCUUUUGCCCAUGCCGUGUGGACGUUGCGAUGCCCUACCUAUGCUUGUGCGAUAAGAAAGAUGUGCUCGUAUAAUGACCUGGAGGGAGCCAUGGCCUAUUUCUUUACUCGCGACCAGAUCAAGCGAAUUCACAAUGCGGCAACGGCAUGUCAUCGCAACGUCGAUGGAGGCAGUGGCUGGCAGCCAAGGUGGUGGCAGACCCUAUUCCCUGGAUAUGGCUCUUGGUUUAACCCUUCUCAAAAUUCGUUUUGAAGAGACACAAUUGCCUAUAGAGAACUCUGGCCAUCAGGGUGAAAACAAAGUAGCAAAAUAA